GCAAAAGAAGAGAAGUAACAGUCUAUUCCCUUAACAUAGAACUGCUGAUUUCAGGCACAUAUGUUGGUUGUGAGCCAGUUUGUGACCGGUUUUGUAGUUUUGAGUUCUGUGGUAACGUGUGUGUAUCUGGCAGGCUUGCCUAAUUAUUGAAUUACCUUCUAUUCUUACAUUAGCCUCUCCAAGAAACCUUUUGUUAGGUGUCUACAGACUGUGAGCUCCUUGAAGACAGAGCCGUCUUCAACUAUUCUGUUGCCCUGACAACAGUGCUUACACAUGACAGGCAGUGAGUAAAUGUUUAUUUAGUAAGCCAAUCAGUUAUGAAUCCUCACCUUUUAUUUUUUUUUUUCACCCUAAGAGAGCCAGGCAACCACCUUCACUAAAUGCUAUUUCCCUACAAACAUUUUUCUGAAAGGCGAGGUCAAUGGAGCUGAGAGGGAAGUUCUGCAGAGGCUCCCCUAACAAAUGCAAAUUGAGUGUGCAACACAAGACCAUUCUUCAGUUGGAGCAGAGCCUGUGAUAAAUGCUCUGGCCUCAAACAUCUGGAUGGCGCCCCACGCAUGGUUCGUCUCAAAGCUGGGAUUGUGGAUGCGAGGAUGACCUUGACUUCCAAGCCCCCUUCUUCUCACUCAUGGGCAGCCAGCAAAGGAUUUCACUGAACAGCAUCCUGAUAAUUCUCUUACACAUGAAACUAUGCAUUGGACCCUCAGCUGCCUCAACUUGCCUUCUCAAGGAACUACUGAAAUCAUCCAGGAAUUCUCAAGGUCUGGAGGUAGCCAGUUCUGUAAUGCCUCGUCUUGGUCUGUGAUGGUUAAUUUUAUGUGUCACCUUGGCUAGGCUGUGGUGUGCAGUUGUUUUGUCAACCCUAGCUUACAUGUUGUUGUAUAUUCCAGUUGUAGGUUCUUCUGGUUGUGCUAUAUGGGAUGCUGCCUCAACGUGGCUUGAUGAGCAGAGCCAUGUCUGUGCCCAGGAUCCGAACCAGUGAAACCCUGGGCCGCCAAAGCAGAGUGUGCCAACUUAAUCGCUCGGCCACAGGGCUGUCCCCUCUCAGAGGAUUCUUAUCUCCAAGGCUUAAGCAAAAGAACAAUGGAAUUCCAAGGAGAAGAAUUGUCUGGCAUAGGAAUAUUCUUGCUUUAGUGAUUCAGGCCGUUCUAAUGAACAAGAAGAAAUAUGGGACUUACAUUGUAUUUAUUCAUGGAAAGAUAUUCAUAUAACACUGUUCCAGUGUCAUCAAUACAACCGUAAUUCAUGAUCCUGACAACAGAGCAAUGCAUUCUGUGUGGUCUCACCAUCGAGGAAACCUGAAUUUGAAACCGAAGCUGCCAAAACAAAAAUAAAAGCCAUAAAUCACAAAUAUUCA
rnacentral:lncRNA from 1 species